UACGUAGGGACCAAGCGUUGUUCGGAUUCACUGGGCUUAAAGGGCGCGUAGGCGGGCGGUCAAGUCGGGGGUGAAAUCUUUCAGCUUAACUGGAAAAGUGCCUCCGAUACUGAUCGCCUCGAGGGAGGUAGGGGCAUGUGGAACUUCCGGUGGAGCGGUGAAAUGCGUAGAUAUCGGAAGGAACGCCGGUGGCGAAAGCGACGUGCUGGACCUCUUCUGACGCUGAGGCGCGAAAGCUAGGGGAGCAAACGGG
rnacentral:rRNA from 1 species